UGUGACUCUAAGCUUUCUAAAGUCAAUACAAGGAGGAAUUGGAUUGUUAUUGCUACAUAACAAUCAAGGUAAUAUCUUAAACCUAAUUAUAUGUUAAUAUCGAUUUCCAUAUGUUAAAAUUAGGGUUUAUAGUCUUGGAUAACUUGCAUGUACAAUAGAGAAACCCAUCAUUAGGGUUUGUAUGAGCACAUAGGAUGUUCUUAUAGCCAAAACCCAUCAAUGGUAUCAGAGCCUAGACUGGUUUCUAUUGUAUUGAUGCAUUAUAUGUUUGAAAAAUUCAUUUUUUGGGUUUUUGGAGGCUGGACUCGCCGACUCCAUGCUGACUCGACGAGUCCAUGCUUGACUCGACAAGUCAACUCAUCAGAUGGAGCAAACUUCGGGAUUUCUAGCUGUUUUUGUUUAAGGAUAGUUGCCUUAUCAUAUUAGAUCAACAUAAAUCCGAUUUUAUGAUACAUUUGACUAUAUUCUUGAUCUAAUUGAAGAUAUUUAUCAAUUAAUAAGAUAAUUGUUUCCUUAUGUGAUAAUUGAUUAAUUAUUUUGAUUAAAUUGGUAAAUUGUUUUGCAAUAAAUCAUUAAAUAAAUCAAAUAUGGAUAAUUAUGUGAUUAAUUGUUAAUUUUAGAUUAUUUGUUAUUUGAUCCUUGUUGCUUUGAAAAGCUUCAUAUUUUCCCCUUUACGUUUUAUAGUUUAAAUUUGAACCCAAAAGUUUUGUUGUUUUGAAAUUUAAAUAGUUAAAACCCUAAUGUUUUGAAAAAGGUUUCAAAACUUGCCCUCAAGUUUUGGAAUUUAAAAUUUUGGAUUAAUAGUUUAAUUUGAUGUAUAUUUAAAUUCUAAACCCUAAUGUUUUGAAAUGUUUCAAAACUUGCCCUCAAGUUUUGGAAUUUAAAAGUUGAUUAAAAGUUUAAUUAGGAAUGUUAAAUUCUAAAACUCUAGUAUUGUUUUGAAAAAGUUCAAAUCACACCCUUAUGGUUUUAUUAAUUAAUUAAGGUGUAUAAUUAAAAGAAGUUUAAUAAAUCCAUAAAAGUUUAGGUUUACAAUUUAAUUGAAUUAAAAGUAUAAUUGUUAAAUUUGACCACCUAGUAUUUUAAAAGUGUAAAAUACACCCUAUACUAUAUAUAACAUUAAAAGUCUAACAUUAUAUAUAUGUAUGAGUAAAAGUCAGUCUUACCGUUAGUAGGCCUCAUUCACGAAGCUGGUCUAUAAGGGGUGUUUAAGGAAAUUGCCUAUAAAAUGGCGAUUGAAUGGGUAUCCACUCUUACCCACCGCACUCUUGACUAGUGGAGGGUCGUUAGCCGAACGGGUAGGAUAGGACAAAACCUUCCAUUAUAAGUAUAAUGAAGUACAAAAGUAACUAAAUGUUUUACAAAUUCCCAAUCUUAGUUACUUAGGCAAAAGUGAAUUGAUGCAAUUCCAUGAAAUUACACUUUGUGCCCUUGCGAAGACGUUAGUGGAGCGUGUGUGGUUUACCGGCACACUAAAUGGUUCUAAGCAAAGGUAGCAAAGGGUGACUCAAUGUUUGUCAUAGUUCGGUGGAGCGUGUGUGGUUUACCAGCACAUCGAAUAGGUGACUGUAACAUGUGAGGGCACCAUGUAAGUUUUCAUGGUUAUUCACACCCGCUUUGUGAUCAUCGGCAUCCCAGUCACAAACUAGAGGGGAAUAUCGAGAUUUAAACAUGCCAUUGAAAUGUUCAAUGAAUCUCAAAGGAUCUAGAAUAUUUCAUAGAUUUAAAAAACUUAAAUUUCUUUUUCGUGUUUCGUGGUGAAAAUUAGUGAAUCGUCAUUCACUUACCUUCAAAUAUUCUGCAAUUAGGGUUACGAUAUCCCUCCCCCGGGUUGUAGAAUAUUUUGUUGGGUCCUAGCCUUAGUAUAUCAUUUGGGUGAUUUACUAAGGACUCAAUCGAUCAACUAACUUGAAUUUGUUUUCUCCCGUUUCAUAGAUGUCAAAGUUCGACAACUAUGGUCUUCCCAAAUCCCGUGGAACAAGCUUUCCACAUGAAGAUGAUAUUCCACGAUUCGAUCGAGGAACAAGAAAUCAUACUUCACUUCCUCCUCCUCCUCCAAUUAUUCUCCCUAACCCACAAGUUCGAAGGCUUGAAAAGUUCAAGCUCACUCAAGCCCUUUUGGCAAGUAAACAUGAAGAAGGAAAGUCAGUGUGUGCACACGUCCUAAGGAUGAAGUCACACAUUGAUAGGUUAAGAAUGUUGGGAUCCGUUGUCUGUGAGGAGAUGGAUGUUGAUUGGGUUCUUCAGUCACUUCCUAACUCAUAUAGUGAGUUCGUAAGAGAGUACUAUAUGAUGAACUGCGACGUGACCUUUAUGGAUCUCACCUAUAUGCUUAUUGCUACUGAAUCAACAAUUGUUUGGCGCAAUAGAAAAGCAAAGUUGAUUGGUGAAUCUGCCUUCAAGACCUGUAUGGAUAUAGACAAUGGCAAUUAAAGACAUGCUAUGAUCGAAAAGUUUGAUCAUAAGAGAAAGGCAAUGUUUGAAGUAGUUCCAUGUUCUGUUCCAAAAGAGUCAAUUUGCUUUUAUUGCCAAGAGAAGGGGCAUUGGAGACGAAGCUGCCCUGUUUACCUAAGAGAUCUAAGAGAUGGGAGAGUCAAAAUGUAUGACUUUGCUUUAGGUAAAAUCCAUUGACUAACUCUUUUAAGCUUCUAUUCUAGAUUCUUAAUACAUAAUGUGAUAAGAUUACAAUUGAUGUUUUGUAGGAUCGAAGAAAAGAAAGGAAGCUUAAGGGAAGAAGUGAGCAGAAUCUAACCGUGAAGGAAUGGAUUUCGAUCGCAUUUCUCGAAGAUUAGAUUCUUGAGCUACUACUUAGAGUUAGAAUUAGAUUGCUAAGAAAGAUGUAUUAGCAUAGUUUUUCAAUGAAUUGCAUUGUAAGGACAAAUUUUUCCGCAAUAAAAUAAAUUUUGAUUUUAUAUUAUUUAUUUAUCCUUGCAAUGGCGUAUAUGAAAAAUUGAUGUUUGAAUGUUUCUAUUAUUAGCAAUAAUGGAUUUGGUUCUUAUUAUGUUAUUUAUGGAAAGUCGAGAGUUUACCAAAUAGGGAGAGUUUCUCAUCGCCCAAGUUUCAAUUGGACAGAAACUUGGAAUCAUGCAACUUGGUUGCAUGAUGAAUGAGAAAUUUCAUAUUUGGAAAUUAGACUAAUUCAUUGACAAAGUGUCAAGUGAAGGACUAGGAGAUCGAGUACACAAAGUUGCGUGUUGAUCAAGUCCACCAUAAGAGUAACAAAGAUAUUCGUCAUGAUUUACUAAAGGUUUAGUAAAUAUGAUUAUACUUAUAAGAUUAAGUGUAAUUCUGAAUUGAUUGAAAAAGUUUAAAUCAAUAGCAGAACGAAUAAGAAGAAUCAAGUAGGCAGAAAGAUAAAAGUUUCUCCAUUCUAAGAAGAAGGGAGAGUACCUUUUAUGCUUUAUGAUAGGUCUUAAUGAUUAAGAACCAUAUCUCAAUUGAUCCUCUAAGUGAGUCUUAGUACAAUUGUAUGUCUAAGAAGAGGAAUCAAGAAUUGAAGAAAUGGUUAAAUCAAGAAGUCAAUCAUACUUCGUUCCAAAACAAGUCUUAGAGUUAAGAUUGUGACAUUGAGUGAUAAGUAUUAAGAAGGUUUAUAACAUUCAUCAAAUGUGGAAAGUUGUGAUGUCUUGGAUAAGACAAAGACCAACUAGGACCAAUUUAUGAAGUGUUUUGAUAAAAACUACACUAACUCUUGAAUAUUUGUUUGUCAAGAAAUGUUUAUUGACAAGAGAAUCUUAUAUGUCAAGGAGUCAGUGGGAGUCUUAAUGGUCUUGAAAGGUUUCAAGAACAAAUCAAAUAAACCUUAUCGAUCAUCACUAGCACACGAGUUGAGGUUUACAACCUAUCGUGUUGACAUUAUUUUGUUUCUGUGCCAAUCCAAUCGAGUUAAUUAUGCAUGUGAGUUCUAUGAGUUCUCAUUUGAAUGCAUAAAAGGCAAGGACCUUGAUCAAUGGAAAGUACAUUGAUAAGAAAAGGUGAGCUGCUUAACUACUUGGAAGACAUGGUGGGCAGCUGUGCUACCAUAAGGCAAGAAAUCAAGAUUAAGAAAGUUCGGUCCAUAUGAGUUUGAAUUUGUCGUAAACUUUGGUUUUAACAAAUUCACAUGGAUAGGAACACAUACACCGUUUAAAUCUAAGUGUCAUAAGAUUUCCUCCUUCAUGAAAAUGAUUGUGAGGAAAUGCUUUCACUAAGAAAGAUUUUAAGAAGAUAGUGAUUGUAAAAUUGCAUUCUCGAAUUCGAUUAUGGUUACGGUAUCCCUUUCCAUAAUUUGAAUUGUGAGGUUUGGCAAUUAGUCUUAAUUGUUUAGACACACAUAUGAACUAUCGAAGGCAAAGGUGUAUAAGUUCAAGAAGCCUUGAUAAAAGAUUAUCAAAGCACUAAGUAUUAGAAACAUGAACUUAAGAAAUUCAAUAAGCAUUGUUUUUCUGAAAGUUAAGAUGUUUAUGAAUACAUGUCGAAGCUAGUGGGAGCAUAAGUGUUAUGUUUUAUAAUAAUCAUCAUGAUAGUGGGAGCAUAAAUGUUAUGAUUGUAUGAUUAUUAAGGCACGUAUUGCAAGUUGGCAAUAUUAAUUAUAGAAAACAAGAGUUAUACCUUGCAAAGUCGUAAGGGUUGUAAAGUUGUUUUGCUAUAAUUAAGGGAGAGAAUUUUAUGCUUCAUUUCAAAUCUAAAGGCUUAGGUUGUGGAAUGUUAAUAAAUUUAGUCAAAGGUACAUAGUGUGUUCUUAAAAUUUCGAUUAUGAUUACGACAUUCCUCUUCAUAAUUCAAUUUUUGAGAACAUAGCAAAUAAAACAUUAUGCGUCCUCUCCAUACGCUUCGGGUAUAGGAUCGAUUGCAAAUGCUUUGAUGAUUGACAAUUCUAAAAUUUUCCAAAUGUCUAGCGCAUUUAAAGGGAAAAGGGACUAGAAUUGGUUUUGACUAAAAUAAUCAAAGGACAAUCCAAAGUUCGACGAGGAUUGGUUGCUUGUGAGUAGUUGGAAGCAUGGUAUUGAAUGGACCAUAUCGACAUUAUUAUGAAUAGAAACGAUUCGAUUAAGAAUGAGUAGUCAUAUGGAAAAUAUGGAAAUGUUUCCAUAUUGGAUGCACCAUGCCGACAUUAUNUGGAAUGUUAAUAAAUUUAGUCAAAGGUACAUAGUGUGUUCUUAAAAUUUCGAUUAUGAUUACGACAUUCCUCUUCAUAAUUCAAUUUUUGAGAACAUAGCAAAUAAAACAUUAUGCGUCCUCUCCAUACGCUUCGGGUAUAGGAUCGAUUGCAAAUGCUUUGAUGAUUGACAAUUCUAAAAUUUUCCAAAUGUCUAGCGCAUUUAAAGGGAAAAGGGACUAGAAUUGGUUUUGACUAAAAUAAUCAAAGGACAAUCCAAAGUUCGACGAGGAUUGGUUGCUUGUGAGUAGUUGGAAGCAUGGUAUUGAAUGGACCAUAUCGACAUUAUUAUGAAUAGAAACGAUUCGAUUAAGAAUGAGUAGUCAUAUGGAAAAUAUGGAAAUGUUUCCAUAUUGGAUGCACCAUGCCGACAUUAUUAUGAAUAGAUAAGACUCUAUUAAGAAUAAGUUGUCAUAUGGAAAAUAUGGAAAUGUGUCCAUAUUUGGAAUUGAAUAUUGAAAAAUCUAUGUUUAGAUUAGAAACUUUUAUGCAAAAGGAUGUUCAAAGGAAUGUACUUUGAAUGAGAGACAUCAUAUCUAAGGAGUUGUCUUGUAACAAUCUCCGAUAGAGGACUUUGUAAUAUCAUUGGCAAUAGUCUUUGUGACUUUGGUGCAGUGACAUUACGAAAGGAUCAUUGCAUAGAAUGUUAGAAUCUAGCAUAUUCUAUAAGUAGCAAGAAUUUGAUAUUCUUUCACUUAUGAAAAAGGAUUUGGAGUUGUGAAAUGAGUAUGAUUGGAAAUGUGUUCAUUUGAUCUAUUUCACAAAGUAAGAACCAUAGGUAAACAUUGUGUGCAUGCUAAGAGCAUGGGACAAGUGUAAUAAUUCAAGUAAGAAGUUGAUUACCCGAAACGACAAAUAAUGAGUAAUCGAUAUGGUGAUAAAUAAAAGGUGUUUUAUUUAUACUCAAAGGUUUGAGGCCAUAUGGGAUUAGUAUUAUUCUUGUGUUUCACAUUUGCAUGUUUUGACUUCCAGAAUAAUUGAGUUUAUUAAGAAUAAUCGAAUUAUUCGAACGGGCCACAGUCGUUCAUAUGUUGGAAGUAGAUAUGAAUGAAGACUGUCGUGAAUUGGUGUGUGGAUUGUCUAAAAGAGUAUUAGACAUAAGCAAAUGUUUGCUGCAACGUUCAUGAGUGCUUAUGAAUAUGAUUUGAGCAUUGGAUUAAACCCACGCUCACUUGGAUCACUCCAUGAAUUGUAUCACGAGUGAUUGGUGAGACGAUAACAUCUUAUAUUCUUGAAACCGAGAUGUGUGAGUUGUAUCUUGCAAAUCGGUUGCACAUUGAUAAUAUGUAAACGCACUAGUAACUUGGUGUUAUAAAACAUAUUGUUGUGUGUGAUUCGGUGAGUGAGUGCAAGCAAGCAUUGUAUCAAAGUUUAUCCGUUCCUUUUAUCCAAAGUAGGAUAAAAGCGAUAUCUUUGGGCCCCUCGAUGAUUUAGUGAUGACAAACGUAAAUGCUCGGCCGGGCUAGGGCUAAUUUGAUUUGUUCAAUUAGUCAGUCGUCAUAAAUCGGAAAUCGAGAUAUAGUACAAAGAGAAUGAUUUGAAAUCAUAUCUCAUAUGAUAUCUAGAAUGGAGGAAUAUAUGAUCCCUUAUCUAAGGACACGCGUAUCUGAUAGGAUCAAAGUUGACAUCGGCUUUGGAAAGCUACGAUUGCAGAUCAGGAUCUGAAGUCAUGCGCAUAAUAGUUAUUAGACUUAUCCAAGUGGGAGACUGUUGGAUUAGUGUCUAAGUCCAUAACUAUUUUGGUAUGUACUUGACCCGAUGGUGCAUGGUCCUUUUGGGUUGCCUUCACCAAAGCAACUUGAUAGGAUGAAUUAUGGAGAGAAAGGAUUAAAUAUGAUUUAUUAAUAUAUUAUGGGAAUAAUAUAUUAAAGGAGAAAUCAUAUUUUUUAAUUAAUAUUAGUCAAUAAUUAAUUGGUAAUUAGUUUUGUGACUAAAAGAGAUUAAUUAAACUUAAGGGACUGGAAUUGUAAUUAUAAGAUAAUUGCAAUUUGGGCCAUGGAUUGCCUUUUAUUAUAAGGUGGACGAAUUCUAUGGGGGAAGCCCAUAUGAAAUCGUCCAAGGCCUUAAGAAAAGGGUUCCAUGGGUUGCUUAGGGCUUAAGUAUCCAAAUUAGGGUUUCCUUGUUAGAUAACCCUAAUAGCCUCCUAUAUAUAUAGAUCCCUUAUGACCUAAAAACGUGGCUAAGACUUCUUUAGGGUUUGUGGACGUUUUUGGGCAGCCUCCAUCCUCUCUCCUCUUCAUCCUCUUGCUUAUGCUGUUUGUGAACCAUUAGAGGAGUGACAUUUGUGACUCUAAGCUUUCUAAAGUCAAUACAAGGAUGAAUUGGAUUGUUAUUGCUACAUAACAAUCAAGGUAAUAUCUUAAACCUAAUUAUAUGUUAAUAUCGAUUUCCAUAUGUUAGAAUUAGGGUUUAUAGUCUUGGAUAACUUGCAUGUACAAUAGAGAAACCUAGAUCCAAGCAUUAGGGUUUGUAUGAGCACAUAGAGUGUUCUUAUAGCCAAAACCCAU
rnacentral:lncRNA from 1 species